rnacentral:rRNA from 1 species
AACGAACGCUGGCGGCAGGCUUAACACAUGCAAGUCGAACGCCCCGCAAGGGGAGUGGCAGACGGGUGAGUAACGCGUGGGAAUCUACCUAGUUCUACGGAACAACACAGGGAAACUUGUGCUAAUACCGUAUACGCCCUACGGGGGAAAGAUUUAUCGGAAUUAGAUGAGCCCGCGUAAGAUUAGCUAGUUGGUGGGGUAAUGGCCUACCAAGGCGACGAUCUUUAGCUGGUCUGAGAGGAUGAUCAGCCACACUGGGACUGAGACACGGCCCAGACUCCUACGGGAGGCAGCAGUGGGGAAUAUUGGACAAUGGGCGAAAGCCUGAUCCAGCCAUGCCGCGUGAGUGAUGAAGGCCUUAGGGUUGUAAAGCUCCUUCAGUAGGGAAGAUAAUGACGGUACCUACAGAAGAAGCCCCGGCUAACUUCGUGCCAGCCGCCGCCGUAAAAC